AUUGAACGCUGGCGGCAGGCCUAACACAUGCAAGUCGAGCGGAUGAAGGGAGCUUGCUCCUGGAUUCAGCGGCGGACGGGCGAGUAAUGCCUAGGAAUCUGCCUGGUAGUGGGGGAUAGCGUCCGGAAACGGGCGCUAUUCCCGCAUACGUCCUGAGGGAGAAAGAGGGGGAUCUUCGGACCUCACGCCAACAGCUGAACCUAGGGCGGAUUAGCUGGUUGGUGGGGUAAAGGCCUACCAAGACGACGACCCGUAACUGGUCUGAAAGGAUGACCGGUCACACUGGAACUGAAACACGGUCAAGACUCUUACGGGGGGCGGCGGUGGGGAAUAUUGGAAAAUGAGCAAAAGCUGGACCCAGCCAUGCCGCGUGUGGGAAGAGGGUCUUCGGAUUGUAAAGCACUUUAAGUUAGGAGGAAGGGCAGUAAGUUAAUAACUUGCUGUUUUGACGUUACCUACAGAAUAAGCACCGGCUAACUUCGUG
rnacentral:rRNA from 1 species